UACGGAGGGGGCUAGCGUUGUUCGGAAUUACUGGGCGUAAAGCGCACGUAGGCGGCUUGUCGCGUCGGAUGUGAAAGCCCGGGGCUUAACUCCGGGUCUGCAUUCGAUACGGGCAGGCUAGAGUGUGGUAGGGGAGAUCGGAAUUCCUGGUGUAGCGGUGAAAUGCGCAGAUAUCAGGAGGAACACCGGUGGCGAAGGCGGAUCUCUGGGCCAUUACUGACGCUGAGGAGCGAAAGCGUGGGGAGCGAACAGG
rnacentral:rRNA from 1 species